AGAGUAAAUAAAUAGAAACCUAGAAAUGGUAAACUUUUCUGAUUUUGGAUAUACAGGCUUUUUGGAAUACUGAUAUGAGUGAGUGCUGAGGCCAGAAAAUGAAGCUGGGUGGCAUUGGAGGUGGACUUCUGAAGAAUGCUCUCAGAAGGCUAACAAUGAGUUAAGGCAGCAGUUGGCAUAGAUAAUGGAAACUGCAGAAGAGAGAACUGUGAAUAAAAGGGAACAACUGUACCCUUAUAACCACCACUCUAAUCAAGGUAUAGAACAGCUUCAUCACUUCACCCUGUGUCAUCAUUCAAAUUGUCUACAAGUCAGAAUUUUCGUGGCCAUGGGACAAAGAACCGCAUCUUUAACCGAACUAAGGAAAAGUCCUGCAACACUUUUGGCAUGCAGCGCGGGGGCUCAGGAAAUGGUGAGUGAGAUGCAAACCAACAAUUCUUUAUCGCUCUCUCUUCUGAGCCUUUUCAUCCUCGUGGCCUUUUCCUUCCUUUUUGGGGGAUGGACUGGCAAGCAGCAGGUCCCCGCAGCUCUCUCCUCCAUGCCGUGCUGGGAUGCAUGGCCUAAGAGCUUGGCACAGCAGGCUGGCAGUCCCAGCCACCUGCUUCUGCGGGAGCCUUCCCCUUCCCCAGCCAGGUUUUUUUUUUACUCCAUUGGACAAUAAUGGAACUAAUCUCCCUGGUCGAGAAACCACUUGCUUAAGAGUAUGAGGUUCUUCCCCAGAAAUUUUUAAACUGUUCCUCUUCUCCGCCCCAUCAGCAGUUAGGUUUUAAGCAAGAUUUUUUUUUCUUUUAGAAGAUGUUUUACUACACAAGGCCGCACAGCUAUUACUGUUUAUAUUUUCUGUAAAGCUUUAGUUGUGAAAAAGGGUUUGUGGGGCCAGUCUUGGGCUGUGGCCAAUCCGGUGCGCUUUUCUUGUCUGUAUGAUUUGUGCUGCAAGCCUCCAUCUUGUUUUACACCCAGGGAGCAUGGCUUGUAACCACUUGGCAAGACUUUGUUUAGGAAUCCUGCCUUAGGGAAUAAGUUUCUUUCUGGUUUGAUACCUGCAUGUUUUCCUGGGGCUGUCUCUUAAAGGGCCCCACCUAGGGACUGGGUUUUCUGGAGGUCUGUGUGCGUACUGUGUAUGUUGUCUGUCAAAAGAACUCUAAUUUGGCCUAAAGAAAGAAAAGCACUGGAUCUAAUACUUUUUAAAGGGAAGUUAGAAGCUUUGGAACAUUUCGGUUCAUGUGACUUUAAUCUUUAAGAAAUAAAAACAGCCCUAACCACUAUUGGUGAAAUGCAGGUCAGGUGUAAGGUUUGCCAAGUGUUACAAACCGUUGAGGUCACAAACUGCUUUUUGGGUUUGAGCCAUUAGACAAUUGUUAAGGCCUGGGGACAUACGGAACUAAUCACCCCUUAACUAAUAAGGCAAGCUUUGACGGCAGCUAGCACACAAUUAAAGCAACUUACCAAGUUUUACCUUAAAGUUUAAAAUUGCUAGGAGUUAAUUGAAACUACUAGAAAUAUAUUUACAUACAAGGUGUGUAAAAAUGGUGAAAUGUGUUUUUUAAUAAAGGUUAUAAGAAGGCAUGGAAAUGUAAACUUUUGCCUAGGGUUAAAGGAUUGUUACUAAUUAAAUUAGAAAAAAGCUAAAGGUUCAAAGAAGUGGUGGAAGAAUUGUGGAAAUUAAUCUUGCAGAAGAGGUUCUCUGUGUCAACAUACUAAAUUCAAAAAAGGGGUAUUAUAUGGUUUUUCUGUAAAUUGAGCAUUGAAAUAAAAGCAUAGCAAGAGUUUUUUAAGGCACUAAUCUGCUCUUUGGUAAAAUUUGUAAGGAGUUAUGGAAGGUUUUUGCUUCUUUAAAUUUUUGAGACAUAAUUUUUGGCAAAAUAAGUAACUUACUGUAACCUAGAAUUCUGUUUCAUAAUAUCAAGUGUUUUAAACCCUGAACAUUUAACGGCCUUCUCAAAAUCAAACUUCAGUUUCAAAAUUGUCUUUACUGACACCUGGGAUAGUCCAGAUGGCCCCUGGAAUGCCCAGAAAAGAGAGGUAAACUGGAUUUUGUACAUGAAAUUGUCAAAAUGAUGCUCAGUCUUCUUUAGGUUAUAUCUCAGUGAAUAAUGCUAAUGUAUGAUCCAAAAUUGUAUGGGAUUUUUAAAGUUCUAAUGUCUAAGUAUAUGCUACCAAUCGUAAUUAAGGUUUUUAUGUUAUUGUAAACCAUGGAGAUAAACAAACUUCUUUGUCAGUUGUGUUUCUAACUGUAACUAACCCAGAUAUUUUGCUAUUCACAGACAAUUGUUUUGUUUUUGUCCUUUUCAAAAGAUGGUUCAUAAUAAGCUGUAGAACUUUAACAGGUGCUCUCAAAUACAGCCUUCUGAUAAUUUUAGAGAUUGUAACAUUAGAAUAAAGGAAAAUGUACAGGACUCAUGAAGAGCUGAAAUGCUCAUGAAUAUCAAGCAAAACAAGAGUUAACUAAAUGGAAGUCAGGAAACUGAAGCAAAUCUUUUUAACCUUGCUUUGAAUAUUGCUGAUCCAUGGUUUUGUUUUUUGGAGUCAAGGAAACUUUGAACUAUUUAUGGCUUUUAAUAAUUAAGUAAGAUACACUCCCGUGAUCAAGAUUUAGGGCAUAUUUCUCUCUUCCUGGUUCCUCUAGAAUUUGGAAACUAUCUGUGAGCAUUCUUACAGCAGUACAGUUGUUUGCAUCAGUGCAAUAAGAACCCAUUUUCUUUUGCAACAAGACACACUUGGAGAAAGUGGUUAUUUUACCAAGUCUUUGACUGGAAGGGUAUGCUUCCCUUUAAGUAGUCAAUAUCAGCUGGCAGAGCUGAUAAAAUCCCCAUGGGAGAAACUGGCCUCAUGCCCUUAACUAUGCAGUUCUUGUACAGGGUUCUUGACCAGUGGUCAGUAAAGAAUGUCACUUUCUAACAGAUUCAG